rnacentral:rRNA from 1 species
UACGAAGGGGGCUAGCGUUGCUCGGAAUGACUGGGCGUAAAGGGCGCGUAGGCGGAUGGCACAGUCAGAUGUGAAAUUCCUGGGCUUAACCUGGGGGCUGCAUUUGAUACGUGUGAUCUAGAGUGAGGAAGAGGGUUGUGGAAUUCCCAGUGUAGAGGUGAAAUUCGUAGAUAUUGGGAAGAACACCGGUGGCGAAGGCGGCGACCUGGUCCUUAACUGACGCUGAGGCGCGAAAGCGUGGGGAGCAAACAGG